AUUGGGAGUUGAGCUGUCCAGAGCUCUACCCCAAGUGGACAACUUUACAAGGGACCAGAUGCCACUUCUAACCUCCACUGGCUGUUCUGUGAGGACCUAACUCCAUACAACACUCAGACACACAGCACUUAAAACCCGUAAUUUGCUGCACCUGAGGCUUGAUAAAAGGAAAACACCUCACCUGCUAAGAUCUGCUGGAACCCUUUAAUGGUCUCCUUCAAGGGCACCAGCUUUCCCAUGUGACCCGUGAAGACCUCGGCAACUUGGAAUGGCUGAGAUAAGAAGCGCUGGAUCUUUCUUGCCCGGGACACAGUCAAUUUAUCUUCCUCAGAAAGUUCAUCCAUACCCAAGAUGGCAAUGAUGUCCUGGAGAGAUUUGUAGUCCUAAAAGCAAGCAAGAUGAAAGGACAGAGUUAAGUGCCUACACCUUCAGAAGGUCCAGGAAGCCGUCAACCAAGGAACGGCAUCUGGCUUCAGCAAAUUCAGAAGAACGAAAGUCAGAAGCUGAUCAUCAAUGAAGGCUGUCAAACUCUCAAAGAUGGGUCUCCAUGCUAUACUGUAUUUGGAAAACAUGGACCAAAAACCAACAUACCGAUU